GCACUCGUAGUCUAGUGGUUAGGAUAGAAGCCUUCCAAGCUUUUGACGGGGGUUCAAAUCCCCCCGAGUGCACCA
rnacentral:tRNA from 1 species